AUAUUGCACAAUGGGGGAAACCCUGAUGCAGCGACGCCGCGUGGAGGAAGAAGGUUUUCGGAUUGUAAACUCCUGUCGUUAGGGACGAUAAUGACGGUACCUAACAAGAAAGCACCGGCUAACUACGUGCCAGCAGCCGCGGUAAAACGUAGGGUGCAAGCGUUGUCCGGAAUUACUGGGUGUAAAGGGAGCGCAGGCGGGAAGACAAGUUGGAAGUGAAAACCAUGGGCUCAACCCAUGAAUUGCUUUCAAAACUGUUUUUCUUGAGUAGUGCAGAGGUAGAUGGAAUUCCCGGUGUAGCGGUGGAAUGCGUAGAUAUCGGGAGGAACACCAGUGGCGAAGGCGGUCUACUGGGCACCAACUGACGCUGAGGCUCGAAAGCAUGGGUAGCAAACAGGAUUAGAUACCCUGGUAGUCCAUGCCGUAAACGAUGAUUACUAGGUGUUGGGGGAUUGACCCCCUCAGUGCCGCAGUUAACACAAUAAGUAAUCCACCUGGGGAGUACGACCGCAAGGUUGAAACUCAAAGGAAUUGACGGGGGCCCGCACAAGCAGUGGAGUAUGUGGUUUAAUUCGAAGCAACGCGAAGAACCUUACCAGGUCUUGACAUCCGAUGCAUAGCACAGAGAUGUGUGAAAUCCUUCGGGACAUCGAGACAGGUGGUGCAUGGUUGUCGUCAGCUCGUGUCGUGAGAUGUUGGGUUAAGUCCCGCAACGAGCGCAACCCUUAUUGCCAGUUACUACGUUAAGAGGACUCUGGCGAGACUGCCGUUGACAAAACGGAGGAAGGUGGGGAUGACGUCAAAUCAUCAUGCCCUUUAUGACCUGGGCUACACACGUACUACAAUGGCGUUAAACAAAGAGAAGCAAGACCGCGAGGUGGAGCAAAACUCAAAAACAACGUCUCAGUUCAGAUUGCAGGCUGCAACUCGCCUGCAUGAAGUCGGAAUUGCUAGUAAUCGCGGAUCAGCAUGCCGCGGUGAAUACGUUCCCGGGCCUUGUACACACCGCCCGUCACACCAUGAGAGCCGGGGGGACCCGAAGUCGAUAGUCUAACCGCAAGGAGGACGUCGCCGAAGGUAAAACUGGUGAUUGGGGUGAAGUCGUAACAAGGUAGCCGUA
rnacentral:rRNA from 1 species